rnacentral:rRNA from 1 species
UACAGAGGUGGCAAGCGUUGUUCGGAAUUACUGGGCGUAAAGGGCGCGUAGGCGGUCUUGCAAGUCCCGUGUGAAAUCCCUCGGCUCAACUGAGGAACUGCACGGGAAACUGCUUGGCUUGAGUUCGGGAGAGGGAAGCGGAAUUCUGGGUGUAGCGGUGAAAUGCGUAGAUAUCCGGAGGAACACCGGUGGCGAAGGCGGCUUCCUGGACCGACACUGACGCUGAGGCGCGAAAGCGUGGGGAGCAAACAGG